rnacentral:lncRNA from 1 species
GCAUUUGUUAGAAGUACAAAUUCUCAGUCAGUGGUGUUGAUGCUGCUGAUCCAGGAAACACACUUUGAGAAUGACUGUUUUAAUGAGAGUAUUUACUAUUAGAAAGAAUUAACAAAGAAGCAAGCAAAAGAAAGGCUACCUGAAGUCACCGAAUAAGCAUAAUCACAAUUUCGGUGUGAUUUAGAGGCUUCAGAAUUACAAAAAUACUGUUACUGGUGAUUAAGUUAAAUACAAAAUAGAACUUCAAUUAAUCCGAGCAACUGAUUACUUCUAUUCCCCACAAUGUAUUCCAAAGAAGGUUGUAAAUGCUGUAUAAAUUAGCUUCAUUGUUACACAAUUUAAAUUCUGAAAGAAAAUGGUACAAACAUAAACUUCAGCCUAAGAACCUCCUUUAUCGCCUGAAAAUAAGGAUUAAUUACAAAAAAUACCAAAAAAGACAUAUUGUGGCUAUAUUGUCAUUUUGUUAUUUCCAUUCUCAUCUCAAAGAAACACACAAUGUAAAACUCCUUUUCCCCAAUUCCAAG